rnacentral:misc_RNA from 1 species
CGCACCCCAACUGUAUUAUUGUACCCUUGCAAUGAUCAUGAUUUCUGGAGCAGGUUAAUGCAUCAUGAAAACUAUACUUGCAACUCCUUCUUCCAUGUGUCCAUCAUCCAAGGGCUUGCAUCAUUGCCGCCGACUCCAUUAAUAGCUCGACCCUUAAUUAAGACAUUCCUAUGUAUUUGUUUGGCUUCCCAUACCACUCAAACCUGAAAUAUUUAAUAACUUUCUUAUCCUCAUGGUUUGUUUCUGUUUCUUGGUGGACCAAAGAAGGAAGAUUAGGAGAAGCAAGCCGGUGGCCGGAUCAUGUUCGCGCUGCGGCCGCGGAGCUAGCGUGGCUGACAUGAGAACUGCAACAAGGUUUUGUUAUAUUCCAGUUUAUUGGAAAUCUUGGAAAGCUAUUAUUUGUACAUUUUGUGGAGCUAUUCUUAAAUCUUACAGAUAGAUGCUUCUGAGCUAUAUAUCAGAUUUAGUUCGUGACUGCAAUAGACACUCUUUUCUAUCCUUUUCCGUCUUUUGUUUACUGCUUUAUAAUUCAGUAUACGUGUAUGAUAUACAGAUCAGGAAACUCGGUGUCUGUAUUGAUUUCAUUUCCAUCUUUUUCUUGCUUUAGCUACAUUUUUAUGUAUUGCUCCACUGUGGUUUCUUUAGCAAAAUAGUGGAAGAGAAUUUCGCUUUCAGCUAUAUUACGGUAAGAGUUGCGAGCUUGAGAUCAUGCGAUUAAUAUUUGAUAUGUAUUUGAAUAUGUAGUUUCAGUUAUCGAGUCUUUUAUUGUAUAUAAGAAGUAAGAAUUCAAUCUUGAAAGAUCUCUUGGAAAAACUUCCCAUGUAUAAGAACUUCUAAAGACCCUAGCUAGUUAGAUGGAUGUUAUGUUAG